GCUGGGUGCGGUGGCGUGUGCCUGUAGUCCCAGCUACUCGCGAGGCUGAGGUGGGAGGAUCGCUUGACCCCAGGAGUUCUGGGCUGUAGUGCGCUAUGCAGAUAGGGUGUCCGCACUAAGUUUGGCAUCAAUAUGGUGACCUCCCAGGAGCGGAGGGACCACCAAGUUGCCUAAGGAGGGGUGAACAGGCCCAGGUCGGAAGCAGAACAGGUCAAAACUCCCGUGCUGAUCAGUAGUGGGGAUCAUGCCUGUGAAUAGCCACUGCACUCCAGCUUGGGCAACAUGGUGAGACCCCUCUCU
rnacentral:SRP_RNA from 1 species